CCUACGGGGAGCAGCAGUGGGGGAUAUUGCACAAUGGGGGGAACCCUGAUGCAGCGACGCCGCGUGGGUGAAGAAGCGCCUCGGCGCGUAAAGCCCUGUCAGCAGGGAAGAAAAUGACGGUACCUGAAGAAGAAGCCCCGGCUAACUACGUGCCAGAAGCCGCGGGAAUACGUAGGGGGCAAGCGUUAUCCGCAUUUACUGGGUGUAAAGGGGGCGGAGACGGCGAUGCAAGCCAGGAGUGAAAGCCCGGGGCCCAACCCCGGGACUGCUCUUGGAACUGCGUGGCUGGAGUGCAGGAGGGGCAGGCGGAAUUCCUGGUGUAGCGGUGAAAUGCGUAGAUAUCAGGAGGAACACCGGUGGCGAAGGCGGCCUGCUGGACUGCAACUGACGUUGAGGCCCGAAAGCGUGGGGAGCAAACAGGAUUAGAUACCCUUGUAGUC
rnacentral:rRNA from 1 species